rnacentral:rRNA from 1 species
AUGAAGACCAGGGGGGCCACACCCUUCUCACGAGGGUGGGGGGCGCCCCCCCUAGGGCGCGCCCCCCUACCUCGUGGGCCCCCUGGAUGCCCUCCAACGCCAACUCCAACUCUAUAUAUUUGCUUUCAGAGAGAAAAAAUCAGAGAGAAGAAAUCAUCGCGUUUUACGAUACAGAGCCGCUGCCAAGCCCUAAAACUUCUCGGGAGGGCUGAUCUGGAGUCCGUUCGGGGCUCCGGAGAGGGGGAUUCGUCGCCGUCGUCAUCAUCAACCAUCCUCCAUCACCAAUUUCAUGAUGCUCACCGCCGUGCGUGA